UGCAUUCACUACUGUAAGUUGCUCUGGUUAAUAAGAGCAUCUGCUAAAUGACUAAAA
rfam:Salmo salar isolate Sally breed double haploid chromosome ssa09, whole genome shotgun sequence.